GGUUACUGCUAUCGGUGUUCGCCUAAGCCAUGCGAGUCAUAUGUUCGUAAGAACAUGGCGUACUGCUCAGUAACACGUGGAUAACCUGCCCUUGGGUCCGGCAUAACCCCGGGAAACUGGGGAUAAUUCCGGAUAACGCACAUAUGCUGGAAUGCUUUUUGCGUAAAAUGGAUUCGUCUGCCCAAGGAUGGGUCUGCGGCCUAUCAGGUAGUAGUGGGUGUAAUGUACCUACUAGCCUACGACGGGUACGGGUUGUGAGAGCAAGAGCCCGGAGAUGGAUUCUGAGACAUGAAUCCAGGCCCUACGGGGCGCAGCAGGCGCGAAAACUUUACAAUGCGGGAAACCGUGAUAAGGGGACACCGAGUGCCAGCAUCCUAUGCUGGCUGUCCGGGUGUGUAAAAUACACCCGUUAGCAAUGGCCGGGCAAGACCGGUGCCAGCCGCCGCGGUAACACCGGCGGCCCGAGUGGUGAUCGUGAUUAUUGGGUCUAAAGGGUCCGUAGCCGGUUUGGUCAGUCCUCCGGGAAAUCUGACAGCUCAACUGUUAGGCUAUCGGAGGAUACUGCCAGACUUGGAACCGGGAGAGGUAAGAGGUACUACAGGGGUAGGAGUGAAAUCUUGUAAUCCCUGUGGGACCACCUGUGGCGAAGGCGUCUUACCAGAACGGGUUCGACGGUGAGGGACGAAAGCUGGGGGCACGAACCGGAUUAGAUACCCGGGUAGUCCCAGCCGUAAACGAUGCUCGCUAGGUGUCAGGCAUGGCGCGACCGUGUCUGGUGCCGCAGGGAAGCCGUGAAGCGAGCCACCUGGGAAGUACGGCCGCAAGGCUGAAACUUAA
rnacentral:rRNA from 1 species